rnacentral:rRNA from 1 species
CAUUACAGUUGACCCCGGCCCUCGGGCCGGGAUGUUCACAACCCUUUGUUGUCCGACUCUGUUGCCUCCGGGGCGACCCUGCCUCCGGGCGGGGGCCCCGGGUGGACACUUCAAACUCUUGCGGAACUUUGCAGUCUGAGUAAAUUUAAUUAAUAAAUUAAAACUUUCAACAACGGAUCUCUUGGUUCUGGCAUCGAUGAAAAACGCAACGAAAUGCGAUAAGUAAUGAGAAUUGCAAAAUUCAGUGAAUCAUCAAAUCUUUGAACGCACAUUGCGCCCCCUGGUAUUCCGGGGGGCAUGCCUGUUCUAGCGUCAUUUCACCACUCAGGCCUCGCUUGGUAUUGGGCGACGCGGUCCGCCGCGCGCCUCAAAUCGACCGGCUGGGUCUUCCGUCCCCUCAACGUUGUGGAAACUAUUCGCUAAAGGGUGCCGCGGGAGGUCACGCCGCACAACAACCCCAUUUCUAAGGUUGACCUCGGAUCAGGUAGGGAUACCCGCUGAA